CGUAGGGUGCAAGCGUUAAUCGGAAUUACUGGGCGUAAGGCGUGCGCAGGCGGUUGUGCAAGACAGAUGUGAAAUCCCCGGGCUUAACCUGGGAACUGCAUUUGUGACUGCACGGCUAGAGUGUGUCAGAGGGGGGUAGAAUUCCACGUGUAGCAGUGAAAUGCGUAGAUAUGUGGAGGAAUACCGAUGGCGAAGGCAGCCCCCUGGGAUAACACUGACGCUCAUGCACGAAAGCGUGGGGAGCAAACAGGAUUAGAUACCCUGGUAGUCCACGCCCUAAACGAUGUCAACUAGUUGUCGGGUUUUAAUUGACUUGGUAACGCAGCUAACGCGUGAAGUUGACCGCCUGGGGAGUACGGUCGCAAGAUUA
rnacentral:rRNA from 1 species